rnacentral:lncRNA from 1 species
UCCAAAACAGGCACCCAAGCUCUAAUGCCUUGCCAUUUUCUGCUUAAUUAUUGAAUGAAGAUAACGAUGGCCCAAUUUCUUCACUGGAAAGCAUCCAAAACUUACAGACCACAAAAGAAGCAUUUUACAACCAGAAAAAAGUCAUAGAUCAGUCACUUAACUUUUCAAAAUUACGAAUUGAUCAUUCUUCACUUCGACGACCCCAUGAACUCUGGCGAACUCCCCACAUCGUGGAAUUUCCGAUACCACCUCUGGUGAACGGAGAUUCAUCACUGCCGAUCCUCUUCUUUCCUUUUUCCUACCUCGUCUGAUCCUACGCAGCCAUCAAAGGAUUCUCUUCCUUGCUUCCACGUCGUGCCAACCCGUGUUGACAACAUCAUCCAUUUUACUUAUUUGGCUUAUAACUCCUUCAUCUGAGGUCUGACUUUGCUCUGGUUUGAACCGU